rnacentral:rRNA from 1 species
AUCAACGCUGGCGGCGUGCCUAACACAUGCAAGUCGAACGAGGAAAGUCUCGCAAGGAUGAGUACAGUGGCGACCGGGUGAGUAACACGUGACUAACCUACCUCCUUAGUGGGGAAUAACUCCGGGAAACCUGAGCUAAUACCGCAUAACAAUCGCAAGAUCUGAAAGGCCUAAAGGCGCUGGGAGGAGGAGGGGUCGCGGCUGAUUAGCUAGUUGGUGAGGGUAACGGCUCACCAAGGCGAAGAUCGGUAUCCGGCCUGAGAGGGCGCACGGACACACUGGAACUGAAACACGGUCCAGACUCCUACGGGAGGCAGCAGUGGGGAAUUUUGCGCAAUGGGGGAAACCCUGACGCAGCAACGCCGCGUGGAGGAUGAAGCCCUUGGGGCUGUAAACUCCUUUCGACCGGACGAUAAUGACGGUACGGAGUGGAAAGAAGCACCGGCUAACUCUGUGCCAGCAGCCGCGGUAAUACAGAGGGUGCGAAGCGUUGUUCGGAAUUAUUGGGCGUAAAGGGCGCGUAGGCGGUGCGGUAAGUCACCUGUGAAAUCUCCUGGCUCAACUCGGGAGCUGCAUGCGAAACUGCCGUGCUGGAGUGUGGGAGAGGUGCGUGGAAUUCCCUGGUGUAGCGGUGAAAUGCGUAGAUAUCAGGAGGAACACCUGUGGCGAAGCGGCGCAACUGGACCAGUAACUGACGCUGAUGCGCGAAAGCUAGGGGAGCAAACAGGAUUAGAUACCCUGGUAGUCCUAGCCCUAAACGAUGGAUAGCUUGGUGUAGCAGGUACCCAAUCCUGCUGUGCCGCAGCUAACGCGAUAAGCUAUCCGCCUGGGGAGUACGGUCGCAAGGCUGAAACUCAAAGGAAUUGACGGGGGCCCGCACAAGCGGUGGAGCAUGUGGUUCAAUUCGACGCAACGCGAAGAACCUUACCUGGGCUCGAAGCGCAGUGGACCGGGGUGGAAACAUCCCUUUUCGCAAGAACUGCUGCGGAGGUGCUGCAUGGCUGUCGUCAGCUUCGUGUCGUGAGAUGUUGGGUUAAGUCCCGCACGAGCGGCAACCCUUAUCCCGUGUUAGCAUACGGUCAAGCCGGGGCACUCUCGGGAACUGCCAUCGUAUACGAGGAGGAAGGUGGGGACUGACGUCAAGUCCUCAUGGCCUUAUCGGCCUAGGGCGACACACGUGCUACAAUGGUCGGGACAGCCGUCGCAAACCGGGUAGUGUGAGCUAUCCGAAACAUCCGUCUACAGUUCGGAUUGGGCUGCAACUCGCCCACAUGAAGCCGGAAUCAGCUAGUAAAUCGCGGAUCAGCCAUGCCGCGGUGAAUACGUUCCCGGGCCUUGUACACACCCGCCCGUCACGCCUGGAAGUUGGGCCAGUACUCCGAAGCAGCGUUGCUAACCGCAAGGAGAGCACGGCCUCAGGCACAGCUCGAUGAUUGGGGUG